GGAAUAAACAUUUACUUUCAAGAAAUUUCAGCUUUAUAUGAAAAUUUCAGUGUUUGAUACGAAAAUUACAGUACUGAACAAACUUGUAAGUAAUAUUAUUGUGAGACGUACUGUCAUAUCUAUUUAGGGAUCACAAAUACAUUUGGAAAAAAUUAAGGUAGCAUUUUAAAAAGAUCUGGAUCAUAAUAAAUGUAGACAAAAGAAACCACCAAUAAAUUCCCAGUGACCAAUGUCUAAUAUAACAUCACAUAAUGUAUGUGACAUAAUGGUAUGUACACUAUCUGUAAAUCAGAGCUUAUCUACGAAGACACCUUUAAGAAAAUAUGACAGCACUAUAGAAAGUCCCUGAAGAAAGAAAUUAUACAUAAACUAGAUAGUGCUCACCAAUCUCAACAGUUUAAGCAACGCUAUUUUUCCAUGAAAAUUAAUUCUAAGUAAUUUUAUGACAUUACCAACCUCUCUACAUUAUUACAGUUCUCAUCAUUUUACUUGGCUAACACAAUUCCCAAAGAGAAUUAUAUUGGAGCAUACAUUUCUCGCAAUUAUGAGACCAUGAAUGGUCAAAACUUACUUUAAGAAAAAUAACAUGCAAAAUUGCCACA
rnacentral:lncRNA from 1 species